AUUGAACGCUGGCGGCAGGCUUAACACAUGCAAGUCGAGCGGGGUGAUGGUGCUUGCACUACCACUUAGCGGCGGACGGGUGAGUAAUGCUUAGGAAUCUGCCUAUUAGUGGGGGACAACAUUUCGAAAGGAAUGCUAAUACCGCAUACGUCCUACGGGAGAAAGCAGGGGAUCUUCGGACCUUGCGCUAAUAGAUGAGCCUAAGUCGGAUUAGCUAGUUGGUGGGGUAAAGGCCUACCAAGGCGACGAUCUGUAGCGGGUCUGAGAGGAUGAGCCGCCACACUGGGACUGAGACACGGCCCAGACUACUACGGGAGGCAGCAGUGGGGAAUAUUGGACAAUGGGCGGAAGCCUGAUCCAGCCAUGCCGCGUGUGUGAAGAAGGCCUUAUGGUUGUAAAGCACUUUAAGCGAGGAGGAGGCUACUUUAGUUAAUACCUAGAGAUAGUGGACGUUACUCGCAGAAUAAGCACCGGCUAACUCUGUGCCAGCCGCCGCCGUAAAAC
rnacentral:rRNA from 1 species